UACGGAGGGUGCAAGCGUUAUCCGGAUUUACUGGGUUUAAAGGGUGCGUAGGUGGGUUGGUAAGUCAGUGGUGAAAUACUUUCGCUUAACGAAGGAACUGCCAUUGAUACUACCAGUCUUGAAUACAGUGGAGGUAGGCGGAAUGCGUCAUGUAGCGGUGAAAUGCUUAGAUAUGACGCAGAACACCAAUUGCGAAGGCAGCUGGCUACGCGAAUAUUGACACUGAUGCACGAAAGCGUGGGGAUCAAACAGG
rnacentral:rRNA from 1 species